CUACGGAGGGUGCAAGCGUUAAUCGGAAUUACUGGGCGUAAAGCGUACGUAGGCGGUUCGUUAAGUUAGAUGUGAAAGCCCCGGGCUUAACCUGGGAACUGCAUUUAAAACUGGCGAACUAGAGUUGAGUAGAGGGGAGUGGAAUUUCAGGUGUAGCGGUGAAAUGCGUAGAGAUCUGAAGGAACACCAGUGGCGAAGGCGACUCCCUGGACUCAAACUGACGCUGAGGUACGAAAGCGUGGGUAGCAAACGGGAUUAGAAACCCUAGUAGUCC
rnacentral:rRNA from 1 species